rnacentral:rRNA from 1 species
UCAUCUCCGGGGGUAGAGCACUGUUUCGGCAAGGGGGUCAUCCCGACUUACCAACCCGAUGCAAACUGCGAAUACCGGAGAAUGUUAUCACGGGAGACACACGGCGGGUGCUAACGUCCGUCGUGAAGAGGGAAACAACCCAGACCGCCAGCUAAGGUCCCAAAGUCAUGGUUAAGUGGGAAACGAUGUGGGAAGGCCCAGACAGCCAGGAUGUUGGCUUAGAAGCAGCCAUCAUUUAAAGAAAGCGUAAUAGCUCACUGGUCGAGUCGGCCUGCGCGGAAGAUGUAACGGGGCUAAACCAUGCACCGAAGCUGCGGCAGCGACGCUUAUGCGUUGUUGGGUAGGGGAGCGUUCUGUAAGCCUGCGAAGGUGUGCUGUGAGGCAUACUGGAGGUAUCAGAAGUGCGAAUGCUGACAUAAGUAACGAUAAAGCGGGUGAAAAGCCCGCUCGCCGGAAGACCAAGGGUUCCUGUCCAACGUUAAUCGGGGCAGGGUGAGUCGACCCCUAAGGCGAGGCCGAAAGGCGUAGUCGAUGGGAAACAGGUUAAUAUUCCUGUACUUGGUGUUACUGCGAAGGGGGGACGGAGAAGGCUAUGUUGGCCGGGCGACGGUUGUCCCGGUUUAAGCGUGUAGGCUGGUUUUCCAGGCAAAUCCGGAAAAUCAAGGCUGAGGCGUGAUGACGAGGCACUACGGUGCUGAAGCAACAAAUGCCCUGCUUCCAGGAAAAGCCUCUAAGCAUCAGGUAACAUCAAAUCGUACCCCAAACCGACACAGGUGGUCAGGUAGAGAAUACCAAGGCGCUUGAGAGAACUCGGGUGAAGGAACUAGGCAAAAUGGUGCCGUAACUUCGGGAGAAGGCACGCUGAUAUGUAGGUGAAGUCCCUCGCGGAUGGAGCUGAAAUCAGUCGAAGAUACCAGCUGGCUGCAACUGUUUAUUAAAAACACAGCACUGUGCAAACACGAAAGUGGACGUAUACGGUGUGACGCCUGCCCGGUGCCGGAAGGUUAAUUGAUGGGGU